CUUCCAGGCCCCCCAUUACUGCGAGGCAGGCUGGUGUCCCGGCCACUGCCUGACGCGGCCAGUGCCGGGCCAGCUCUGCUGCGGCGCACCGAAGAGGGGCCGGCCUUGGAGUACCCCCCUGCGGGCUUGGCCUGGAUAUCUGUUGAUGCUUUAUGUGGAUUACACUAUGAGGUGGUGAUAACGGGUAAUGCUGGUACUUGGACGGCAUGGCUGGACACCAAUGCAGUGGAAGGUGGGAUCAUUCGACCCCUGAUUGGAGCCGACGGCUGCGUAUUAGAACCUUCUACGGCGGAGCUAGGCUCUCUUUACAUAGGGACCGCCUUCCUCGGCAUCAGAGGCACCGAUAACCAUACCGUGAUUUUGAACACACUGUUGCCUAAGAUAAACGUCCCAGUAUCCUGCCUGGAUAACUCGUACCUGAGCACAAAAUACGGGAACACCGUGAACCAGACGGACAAACGGCUGAGUGACACGAACUUCUUUUUUAAGGAGACGAGCUCUUGCUUCUACAAAGGACAGCUGUACACGGAGAAGUCUUACUGGAUUGUA
rnacentral:lncRNA from 1 species